rnacentral:rRNA from 1 species
UGGCGGACGGGUGAGUAAUGUCUGGGAAACUGCCCGAUGGAGGGGGGUAACUACUGGAAACGGUAGCUAAUACCGCAUAACGUCGCAAGACCAAAGAGGGGGACCUUCGGGCCUCUUGCCAUCAGAUGAACCCAUAUGGGAUUAGCUUGUAGGUAAGGUAACGGCUUACCUAGGCGACGAUCCCUAGCUGGUCUGAGAGGAUGAUCAGCCACACUGGGACUGAGACACGGCCCAG